CACUAGGGAGGGCUCUCUUUCUGGAGAUUGGUCCCUUUGGAGAUAUUUACUGUGAGCCUAGGACAUGGGAUUGUUGCCCUUCUUCACCGGAGAAGUUCUCCUGCUAGAUAGCAGGUUUUGAGCAUACCCUUUGGACUAACUAUAUUGUUAUGAUGAUUCUUCUAAGCUAGGCCUCAAGAAGAGGGAGCUCCAAACAGGAAUUUUGGGACAUGUGAGAAGUUGUUAAGUUCAAGGAAGGUGGCCUGAAUGAAUCCACGUGUCUUCACAGAAGCAAUGGUGGAAACUUCUUAAGGAUCUUUUAUUGCCCGAAUCAGCUCAUACUUAUACAGAAAUACAGGGUACACACAGCAACUUAUAAUUGGUUAGCACACAGAAAUCACGCGUCUUGCUUGCUAGCUAUUGGUACAGCAUUAAUCGUUACAUGGCUUUUUUUCACUGUUCUUUGCAUUCCACUGUCUUGAUCUCUUCCCAGGCUAGCUACCCCCUUAUAUUAACUGAAGCCUCAGUUUUUCUUCCUGCUUUGACAGCUUCAAAGUCUCAUAGUCUGGGUUGUGCACAUAGCACUCGAGCUCACAAAUCCUUGCUCCCUGAGCCAUUCUCCUACAUUAAGUUUUUUAUCCUUUUGAUUCCUGAAGUUUAUUCCUCAGAGACUGAAUUUAAGCUUGUAUGAAUGGGAAAUGGUGCACAACUCCUGAAUUUCUGGCACAUGAUGCAAAUGACAAAAAUUACAAAGGAGGUAGCUAUAGCUUAAAAUGAAGACCAAGAGUCUAUGUAAGUAUCCUUCUCAUGGGAAUGGACAAAACUUAUGACAGAACUUGAUGUCGCUUUACAUGUUGCUUGGACUCCACAAGGGUUGGCUUGUUCAUAUAUGUGAAUGUAUAUGUAGCUUAAGGUUAUUUAGCAAAUACUAGGCUUUAAAUGGAAUAAGGCUGUUAAUACAAUAUUCCUACCACUAUAGUAGACAGAAUGGAAUGUGUGAGCACUUGCACAAACACUGUUUUAUUGAUUUUCUAGUUUAAUAUAUUACUAAGUCAGAAGCUCUGGACAAUUCUUAUGUGGUGAGUUUAAAAUAGCUAUAUUUAUGUAGAUCCAAUAAGAAAAUUGAUAAGUCUAAGUGCCAGCUGCAAAAGAAGUGUCUCUCUAGUUUGUGGAUUGAUUUUUGUGUAGUGCUGACUAACAACUAUCUCCUUAGUGCAACUAAAGGCACCCUAAUUUAAAUGGGUGCAUGACCAGUCUAUUAGUAAACAAACUGGUUCAAUAGUAUUUUGUGGUACUUAAUGACAAAAAUAAGGUAAAAUGGAACUAGUUCCUAGGCAAUCAAAGGGUUAUUUGCUACUUUCUCUUGUAGCAAAGUGUUGAGUGACUUGGUUUUGCAGCUAUGCCAAUUGUAAGCGCUCUAAUUUGGAUUGAAGAUGCGCUUUAGAAAGGUUCCAAGGAAUAGUGAACCACAGAAAACCAGUGCUAUAGAGCAGUAUGUUGAACAUGAAAUGGUUUGCUUAUCGUUAUAUAGGCCUUCAUGCUCUCUGUUCAUUUAUACUUAAUAUUAAGUUAUAAGUUGUGGAAAGACUGUAGUUAUCUUUUGUUUCUCAUUGCUUCAGUAGACUUCAUCUGGUGUGCUUUUUCACUAUUGUCAUCUUUCCAUGACAAACAGUUUACUAAUUUAUUUCUGCAUUAAGACCCAAAGUUCUAUAGCUGCAUCCUUUAAUGUUUAGGGAUAAAUUCUGGAAUAAGUUCAGGGAUAAAUUUACUAAGCAGUACAUACCAUGUGGUAGAGCUUGUGGUAUGGAAAAGCAAAAUAAAAUACAUAUGCAUAGAACCAAUGUAUAUAGAAAGUAAGCAUAAGCUUCAAAAUGCAAGUUGAUCAGACAAAUGUGCACCUAGGAUACGCUGAAAUUAUUUAAAGAACUACAGUUUUAUCUUAUUAGGAGUGAUUGCUAGAAGGUUGUAUGUCAAGCUAGCACAAGGCAAGUGUAAUAUUGGGGGAUAGUACUGGGGGCAAAUAAAUCAAAUCCUUUCAGAGAGAACGAGGGAAUUCAGUGAGCUGUAACUAAUGUACAAUAAACAAAUACUACCUGAUGGAAGGAGCAAAUCUAUUACAAAUUGUCAGAGGCACUGCUCUGGGAAUGCAUGCUGUUAUUAUUACCUACUGUUAUUGAUACAGCCUUGUAGAAUAUAGGGAGUUUUUUUCUCCUAGAGGGGAGAUGGGUUUAACUGGUGAGUUAGAACUACAACAGUCUCUGAUAUAAAUGAGAAGGGGAUUUAUUUUCUGCAAUGCAUGUUUUUAUGUGUACUCUUCCAAUUUGAGCAAAAUUAGAAGUAUUGAAGUCUUAUGCAGCUGUCCGUGGAACUGUUUCUUUGCUCUGUUUUCCUCUAAAAAAAAAAUGAAAUUAGUCUAUUAAUCCUGUAUUUUUUUAUUACAGUAAGUAAGACUCUGAAGAGAGUUCUGCCUGACAAUGACAAUAACUGACUUGGCUGAUAAACUCAUAAAAAAUUCAGAUGAACACUUACACUUUACAGUCCUGAUACUUGCUACUCACCUGAGUUCUGCCCAGCUUCAUUCAUUUCUGUGUCAGACUUUGAUCAUGGAAAGCUCUGCUCUCCAGACUGCUCACUGUGCUGGUUUAGCACAUGAAGUUCCCAGUCUUUGCCUGGAGUUCUGAGCUGGAAAACUGGAAAUACUACCCAAGUGAGAAGGGUGAUGGACAAGGUGAUGCAUGGCAAACAGCAUCUGUAGUUCACCGUGAUGAUCAUGGACAGGCUGAAACAGGCAGCCUGAGAGACCAUCCUUCAGCUAGCCUGACACUUUGCUGCCUCUUCCACUGGGAGAUUAUUUUGCUCCUUUUCCACUCUGUGAUGGCUUUUUCUCCUUUAAAAAAUAAGUAAAUAAAUAAUCCCCUCUUCACUUUUUGGUUGCACUUACUGUACAUAAUUAGUAUAAUUAUACAUAUUAAAUAUAUGCAUAAUUAGUAGCAAUUCACUUAAUGAGGACUUCAGUGCAUGAGCUCUUGUGAAUGUUGAUCAACAGUGAUAAAAACCUUCGGGAACUUUCAUGUUUCUACCUUGUUUCUAUCUUGCUAGACACUUUUGAAGUGAGUUGAAGUAUUUAAAAG
ensembl:lncRNA